GACGAACGCUGGCGGCGUGCUUAACACAUGCAAGUCGAACGAAGUGGCGAACUGGUGAGUAAUACGUGGGUAACCUGCCCUCCUUUUUGGGAUAAGCCUUGGAAACGGGGUCUAAUACCGAAUAAAGGGGGAUGGGCUCGCGGCCUAUCUGCUUGUUGUUGGGGUGAUGGCCUACCAAGGCGGUGACGGGUAGCCGGCCUGAGAGGUUGACCGGGCACAGUGGGACUGGGAUACGGCCCAGGCGCGUAAGCGAGGCAGCAGUGGGGGAUAUUGCACAAUGGGUGAAAGCCUGAUGCAGCGAGGCUGCGUGGGGGAUGAAGGCUUUCGGGUUGUAAACCUCAUUCGCAAUGGAACGGGUAGGUGGAGAAGAAGCGCCGGCUAACUACGUGCCAGCAGCCGCGGUAAUAC
rnacentral:rRNA from 1 species